rnacentral:rRNA from 1 species
CAAUUGUACCGCGAAACUGCGAAUGGCUCAUUAAAUCAGUUAUCGUCUAUUUGAUAGUACCUUACUACUUGGAUAACCGUGGUAAUUCUAGAGCUAAUACAUGCUGAAAACCCCGACUUCGGAAGGGAUGUAUUUAUUAGAUUAAAAACCAAUGCCCUCCGGGGCUCCCUGGUGAUUCAUGAUAACUUCUCGAAUCGCACGGCCUUGCGCCGGCGAUGGUUCAUUCAAAUUUCUGCCCUAUCAACUUUCGACGGCUGGGUCUUGGCCAGCCAUGGUGACAACGGGUAACGGAGGGUUAGGGCUCGACCCCGGAGAAGGAGCCUGAGAAACGGCUACUACAUCUAAGGAAGGCAGCAGGCGCGCAAAUUACCCAAUCCCGACGCGGGGAGGUAGUGACAAUAAAUACUGAUACAGGGCUCUUUAGGGUCGUGUAAUUGGAAUGAGUACAGUUUAAUUCCCUUAACGAGGAACAAUUGGAGGGCAAGUCUGGUGCCAGCAGCCGCGGUAAUUCCAGCUCCAAUAGCGUAUAUUAAAGUUGUUGCAGUUAAAAAGCUCGUAGUUGAACCUUGGGCCUGGCUGGCCGGUCCGCCUCACCGCGUGCACUGGUCCGGCCGGGCCUUUCCCUCUGGGGAGCCGCAUGCCCUUCACUGGGCGUGCCGGGGAACCAGGACGUUUACUUUGAAAAAAUUAGAGUGUUCAAAGCAGGCUUAUGCUCGGAUACAUUAGCAUGGAAUAAUGGAAUAGGACGUGCGGUUCUAUUUUGUUGGUUUCUAGGACCGCCGUAAUGAUUAAUAGGGACAGUCGGGGGCAUCAGUAUUCAAUUGUCAGAGGUGAAAUUCUUGGAUUUAUUGAAGACUAACUACUGCGAAAGCAUUUGCCAAGGAUGUUUUCAUUAAUCAGGAACGAAAGUUAGGGGAUCGAAGACGAUCAGAUACCGUCGUAGUCUUAACCAUAAACUAUGCCGACUAGGGAUCGGACGCUGUUGUCUUUUGACGCGUUCGGCACCUUACACGAAAGUACAAGUUUCUGGG